rnacentral:rRNA from 1 species
CCUACGGGAGGCAGCAGUGGGGAAUAUUGCACAAUGGGCGAAACCCUGAUGCAGCGACGCCGCGUGAGUGAAGAAGUAAUUCGUUAUGUAAAGCUCUAUCAGCAGGGAAGAAAAUGACGGUACCUGAGUAAGCAUCCCCGGUUAACUACGUGCCAGCAGCCGCGGUAAUACGUAGGGGGCCAGCGUUAUCCGGAUUUACUGGGUGUAAAGGGAGCGGAGACGGCAGUGCAAGUCUGGAGUGAAAGGCGGGGGCUCAACCCCAGUAAGGCUCUGGAAACUGUACGGCUGGAGUGCAGGAGGGGUAAGUGGAAUUCCUAGUGUAGCGGUGAAAUGCGUAGAUAUUAGGAGGAACACCAGUGGCGAAGGAGGCUUACUGGACUGUAACUGACGUGGAGGCUCGAAAGCGUGGGGAGCAAACAGGAUUAGAUCCCGUGUAGUC